rnacentral:lncRNA from 1 species
CUCUUCCUUGUCUUCCUGAUUCUAAUCGUCACAUGUGCCGAGAUCUCGAUUGUGCUCUGCUACUUCCAGCUAUGCAGUGAGGAUUACCUGUGGUGGUGGAGAUCAUACUUGACAUCAGGAUCUUCUGCCCUGUACCUCUUCCUGUAUGCGACUUUCUACUUCUACACAAAGCUGGAGAUCACAAAGUUUGUGUCAGCCAUCCUUUACUUCGGCUACAUGCUCAUCGCCUCAUAUGCGUUCUUUGCCUUGACGGGUACAAUUGGAUUCUAUGCCUGUUUAAUGUUCACUAGGCUGAUUUACUCGUCUGUGAAGAUUGAGUAAUAGUGUUCUUCUCCCUAAUUUUCUGUUGACAUGGUGAAGGUCGAUGAUGUGGCCAGUGAAUGCCACCCUCUAAAUUUAGCUAUCUAUGGCAUCAAUUCUGAGUUCUGAAAGCUGGCUGUUAAAGAUGAAGUGGUGAUGUGUUAUCCAUGGUUAAACUAUCAUAGCUAGCUCCGUGAGUUUUAUUCUCUUGUUCCUUUUUUGGCUUUAGCAUCUGGAUCACGAGGAUGCCUGUGAAGUACCUGUUGUGAAUUGUAUGUGGAUGCUGAUAAAGUACCUAUUCUGAAUUGUAUAUGGAUGCUGAUAAAUCUCAAUUACUUCAUGCCAGAAUGUAAUGUAAUUGUUGACGUACAUUGAGCCUUUUUAUUGGAUAUAUACCACUGCAGUGAAAAAUAUUGUGACUAGUUAGGGCAUCUCCAACCGCCUACAUCACAGGUGUCCACACAUGAGUCUGACCGGG